UUCUGCACCUGGAAAUAAUGUGUUUGUGGGAUUUGGAGUGCGGCCAGCGGGCGGGCGGGUGCAGCAUGCAAGGAGCGGAUGGGUCCAGGAUGCGUGGAGCACGAUUGAGCAUCGGGUCGGUGCACGUUAAAACAUAAUGCAAAUGAGCUGCACCUGCACUACUGUGUAGUGACUACAAACUCGUGAAUCAACAAAAUCUACCACUUGAAGGCUGUGAUAGCGAGCAGGGGGUGAGGGAGCGAACAGAGUGGUUGUCCCCUCAUUCGAGAUGUAAAGUCGGCCCUCUCCUUACCUCAAUCUCUGAUAAUCAAUGUAGUUGCUGCUGUCAGUUCUGGAAACGUGCCGUUGAAUGAUGUUCAGUUGCUGUGGGUUAACCUAAUUAUGGAUACUUUGGGUGCCCUUGCAUUGGCGACAGAACCACCUACAAACCAUCUUAUGGAGAGACCCCCAGUAGGGAGAAGGGAGCCAUUGAUUAUAAAUAUCAUGUGGAGAAACUUAAUUAUCAUGGCUUUGUUUCAAGUUUCAUUUCUCCUCACUCUCAACUUCAAGGGAAUAAGCCUCCUGCAGUUGAAAAAUGAUGAUCCAGCACAUGCAGAUAAAGUGAAAAAUACCUUCAUAUUCAACACAUUUGUUUUCUGCCAGGUGUUCAACGAAUUCAAUUCGUGUAAACCAGAUGAGCUGAAUGUAUUCAAGGGCAUUUCAGAGAACCAUCUGUUUAUUGGCAUCAUAGCUAUAACAGUUGUACUCCAGUUGAAUUUAAGGUUCCUCUUCCCUUGUUUGGAAGAGGUUAUGAUCAUUGUACGCUCCCGGCUCAAUGUUGAACACUCUUGAAGUACACUGUGAAGUUGCAGAGGAUGGUCAUCAGAAUCUCAAAGAUCAAGAAUUGCCAUAAAGGUGCUGAUGAGUUCUUUGAUGAUAUAUGUAAUUUCAAUUACAUGAACUAUAAGAAAGUGCAAAUUGAAUAAGUAGAGAUGAUAUAAUAUUACAUAUUUAUAUCAUCAAAAUAAUAUUAAUAUUACGAUGAUAUUUUAUC